AAAUAUAUACAAAUUUGAUACGAAAUCUCUCUUCCUCUUUAAAGAAAAACUUGCGAAAAUUCAAUGUACCCUUCCAAUAUAGGUAUACUUUAGCUCUGUACAAUAAUAUCAUCUAUACUCUGUAGUGUGUAUUUUUGUCUGCACUCGAUAUACUUUGUUUUUUGAGUACGUACCUAUGUAUAUAUUUUAUUUGUGCGAGGGG